rnacentral:rRNA from 1 species
GACGAACGCUGGCGGCGUGCUUAACACAUGCAAGUCGAACGGAAAGGCCCUGCUUUUGUGGGUUUCUCGAGUGGCGAACGGGUGAGUAACACGUGAGUAACCUGCCCUUGACUUUGGGAUAACUUCAGGAAACUGGGGCUAAUAUCGGAUAGGAGCUCCUGCUGCAUGGUGGGGGUUGGAAAGUUUCGGCGGUUGGGGAUGGACUCGCGGCUUAUCAGCUUGUUGGUGGGGUAGUGGCUUACCAAGGCUUUGACGGGUAGCCGGCCUGAGAGGGUGACCGGCCACAUUGGGACUGAGAGACGGCCCAGACUCCUACGGGAGGCAGCAGUGGGGAGUAUUGCACAAUGGGCGGAAGCCUGAUGCAGCAACGCCGCGUGCGGGAUGACGGCCUUCGGGUUGUAAACCGCUUUCGCCUGUGACGAAGCGUGAGUGACGGUAAUGGGUAAAGAAGCACCGGCUAACUACGUG